rnacentral:rRNA from 1 species
AUACGUAGGGGGCGAGCGUUGUCCGGAAUGAUUGGGCGUAAAGGGCGCGUAGGCGGCCCGGUAAGUCUGGAGUGAAAGUCCUGUUUUUAAGAUGGGAAUUGCUUUGGAUACUGUCGGGCUUGAGCGCAGGAGAGGUAAGUGGAAUUCCCAGUGUAGCGGUGAAAUGCGUAGAGAUUGGGAGGAACACCAGUGGCGAAGGCGACUUACUGGACUGUAACUGGCGCUGAGGCGCGAAAGCGUGGGGAGCGAACAGGAUUAGAUACCCUGGUAGUCCACGCGGUAAACGAUGAAUGCUAGGUGUAGGGGGUAUCGACCCCUCCUGUGCCGGAGUGAACACAAUAAGCAUUCCGCCUGGGGAGUACGGCCGCAAGGUUGAAACUCAAAUGAAUUGACGGGG